UCGUCACGAAUUGGGCACCUGCAUUGAAAAUGUCAGGAAGAUGAUCCGUCUAAUAUUAAACCAAGUGAAGAUCUAGGGUGUAAAAAUCAGAAUAACGGAUGAAUCACCUUGCUCAUCCUCUGCGGUGCGAGAUAUGUCUGAGGACCAAAAGGCUAAUCUGUCCCAGGGGCUGAGCGUCUGGGAUUUGCAGAGGUCGAGCGAUCCAUGAGGGAAAUUUGGGUCACUGUUAGCCAGAAAUCACACCCAUUGAAUGUCUAGGAAGCAAUCUGGAUUGCGUCUUGGAGGAGGGGAUGGAGGAGAAGGUAAGGAAAUUGAAC
rnacentral:lncRNA from 1 species